UCCGGUUUGUCACCGGCAGUCUCGCAUGAGUCCCCAACUAAAUGCUGGCAACAUACGACGGGGGUUGCGCUCGUUGCGGGACUUAACCCAACAUCUCACGACACGAGCUGACGACAGCCAUGCAGCAUCUGUACACCCGUCCCGAAGGAGGCACCCCUUUCGAGGUGUUGCGAGUGUAUGUCAAGCCCAGGUAAGGUUCUUCGCGUUGCAUCGAAUUAAACCACACGCUCCGCUGCUUGUGCGGGUCCCCGUCAAUUCCUUUGAGUUUUAGUCUUGCGACCGUACUCCCCAGGCGGGCUACUUAAUGCGUUAGCUUCGGCACAGGAGGGGUCAACACCCCCCACACCUAGUAGCCAUCGUUUACUGCUAGGACUAA
rnacentral:misc_RNA from 1 species